rnacentral:rRNA from 1 species
AGUGAACGCUGGCGGUAGGCCUAACACAUGCAAGUCGAACGGCAGCACAGUAAGAGCUUGCUCUUACGGGUGGCGAGUGGCGGACGGGUGAGGAAUACAUCGGAAUCUACUUUUUCGUGGGGGAUAACGUAGGGAAACUUACGCUAAUACCGCAUACGACCUGCGGGUGAAAGCAGGGGAUCUUCGGACCUUGCGCGAUUGAAUGAGCCGAUGUCGGAUUAGCUAGUUGGCGGGGUAAAGGCCCACCAAGGCGACGAUCCGUAGCUGGUCUGAGAGGAUGAUCAGCCACACUGGAACUGAGACACGGUCCAGACUCCUACGGGAGGCAGCAGUGGGGAAUAUUGGACAAUGGGCGCAAGCCUGAUCCAGCCAUACCGCGUGGGUGAAGAAGGCCUUCGGGUUGUAAAGCCCUUUUGUUGGGAAAGAAAAGCAGCAGGUUAAUACCCCGCUGUUCUGACGGUACCCAAAGAAUAAGCGCCGGCUAACUUCGUG